GACGAACGCUGGCGGCGUGCCUAAUACAUGCAAGUCGAACGCAGUGGGGACGGGUGAGUAACACGUGGGUAACCUCCCAUCAGAGGGGAUAACACUUGGAAACAGGUGCUAAACCGAUACUGAUGGAUGGACCCGCGGUGCAUUAGCUAGUUGGUGAGGGAACGGCUCACCAAGGCCACGAUGCAUAGCCGGCCUGAGAGGAUGAUCGGCCACACUGGGACGUAGCCACGGCCCCGACUCCUACGUGAGACGGCAGUAGGAAAUCUUCGGCAAUGGUAGACAGUCUGACCGACAAACGCCGCGUGAGUGAAGAAGGUUUGCGGAUCGUAAAACUCUGUUGUUAGAGAAGCGGUAUCUAACCAGAAAGCCACGGCUAACUACGUGCCAGCAGCCGCGGUAAUUC
rnacentral:rRNA from 1 species